CGGGUGAGUAACACGUGGAUAACCUACCUAUAAGGCUGGGAUAACUUCGGGAAACCGGAGCUAAUACCGGAUAAUAUUUUGAACCGCAUGGUUCAAAAGUGAAAGACGGUCUUGCUGUCACUUAUAGAUGGAUCCGCGCUGCAUUAGCUAGUUGGUAAGGUAACGGCUUACCAAGGCAACGAUGCAUAGCCGACCUGAGAGGGUGAUCGGCCACACUGGAACUGAGACACGGUCCAG
rnacentral:rRNA from 1 species